UCAGGAUCUCCUCCCUGUUAAUGCCAACUCUGCCAUGCAGUAGUAAAUACUGAUAGCAAGGCAUAAGUAACUACAAAUACCAGGCUGAGUACCCAGCUUUGUCUCUUUGCCCUUCUGCUGUAAACCCCGGAGAACUGAGCAUGUUGCUUUAUGCUGGCGGUAUAAGAAGUGGAAUGGGACCCAGUCCCCUGAAUCCUAGGGCUCAAUGACUCUUAGCGUGCUGGAUGCGAAUCUCCAUCUGCAUGCAGUACGUCUCACCUGGCAAAGCACAGGUACCCUGUGCUUUUGGGUUAUGCAACUGAUAGGCAGGUGUAAGUGGCCCAGUCCAAAACUAAUCUCCAAAUGGAAGAGCAGUGAUGGUGAAAGGGAAGGGAAAGGCUUUUCUGUCAGUGCCAGGACUCUUUUGGAUGCAAAUAAUCAGCGUAUCUGAAAACUUGAUCCAAAAGCUUUCAAGGGUGGUAUCAAAAGGCAACAAUAUAUUUAGUUUGACCCUGAUGUACACUUGGCAUUCUGCUAUGGUACAUUGGAGUAUGUGGAUGAAAAAUUAACAUGUUUCAAAACUAUCAGUCUGCAACUGUUGGUUCCAGGGCCAGCUUGCUGUAGGGCUCGUGCCCACGUAUUACAAAUGCCGCCUGGUUUAGUUGUGUCCCCCAGCAAAAUCCUGCAACAACCUUGAGUUUGGAUUUUCUCUGUCUCACUACACACUGGAGCCUGGAAUAGCAGAACCAGAAAUCACUGUAACUGGUACCUCCAGGAUGCAAAGUGAAGUCUCUUCUCUGGACACUGUUUCUUUUGAGCUACAGGGCUGACUUUCCCAUCCAAGCAACAGAGGAGAAUGGAGCAGUGCGUCUUGUCUCUGCAACUCAUUGAGUCUCUGCAAUGAAAACAGGGGGCUGGAUCCGCUGUGAAGCAGGGGUCUGCACAGCUCCAUUGGAUGUACCCCUCUGCUGGCUUCAUCAGGGGAGUAGUUGAGGGAGGAACUGCAAUCUGUCAAAGCAGUAAGAGGCAGGAAUUAAAUGCCUCUUGUACACAGGGUAAAAACCUUUCCUGGGCCUGAGCUGGCUGAAGGCAGCGUGGCUUUGCUGAAGUUAGCGGUAGGUCUUCGGAUCAGGCUUUGCACUGUCCUGUGUCUCAGGAAGAAAAUCAGACUAGUUUGACGUUUGUGUAAGGUGUGUGCUUUUUUCCAAUGCAAUACCACGGAGAGUGAGAUUUCUCCCUGUGUUUUGACAUCUCCUGUCCUUACUGAUCCCAGUUCACGUGUGUUCUCCCUGCAUCUCUCCAGCUUGUGUUCGUCUGAGCAGGCGUGCUGACUUGUGAGCAAGUUCCAGCCUGCCCCCCCAAAUUUAGGCUGGCUUAGGUGGGAGCAGAGCCUGUUAGAGAGGCUUCUGCAGAUGUCUGACUUGCUUUUCACUUCUUCCCUUGCUAAGAGCAACAUCACCAGGUGAGAAAACCCAGCAGGCAAUCAAACGGCUCAGCCUCCACCUUGUCGGGAAACAAGGCUGCACCGAGAGCGAGCGCUUGCUUUUUAGACAUGAUCCUAUAGGAUCAGGGUUCUUGCAGUGUCAGGGAUUUAAGAUUUUUGAUCUCCCCAUCCCCCCCCCCUUUUUUUCCCUGCCUGUCUGAGCAGCUCUGGGCUCCCCCGGCAUCACUUCAGCGCAAGGACCCGUCUGACACUACUUAUGCCAGGUCCUGCCUCCCGCGCAGGAGAAGCAGUCUGCAACUUUUGCUGCUCCAGGCAGCACUUCAUCUCUGAGCAAGCAGCGCUCUGCAGAGUGGAUUUGGGGAGAACUGCACCCGGAGCAGCAACCCAAGGGUGGAAGAAGACCCCAAUGCUCUGUUGGCUGGCUGCUGUCUGACGAGGGCUCUGAAGUGCUCCCGAAGGAGAUGUGAGAUGUCCUACAGUGCUGCUUCCACGCUGGACCCCUCGGCAGCAUAACCUGCUAACUGAGCAGUGUUUGGCCACCUUGCUCUGGAAGGAGUUGCAAGAGAGUGUGGCCUCUGCUGCAAUUAAGGAAGCUGGUCUCUCUGCUUGGCACAAGUGCACAGCUGCACUCGCCCGCACUGCUCAGCUGCUCUUGCAAAGGAGACCUGGAAACACAUAAUCUGGGGAAAGUCUGGAUUCUUUUAUCUCCUUCUCUGGAUUCUUUUAUCUCUUUCUCAAGGAAUUUGCCACCUAUAUGUUAGUGAUGUUUAUUUAAGGGGAGAGAAAUCACAUAUUAGUGACUUGUGACAGACAAUUUGCAUCAGUGUCUGUGGAUCUGUCUCCAUAGUGGUACUGUUGGUGGGAAUGGAUGGGGAGUGGUUGGGACUUUAAAGGAUACACUGAAAUUGCUGUAAUCCUCCACACUAUCUGAUGAUAUUGUUUUACCCUUGGUAGGUGAAGUGGUAAUAUAGUGCACUAUGAUGUCUCGGAUGUAGGAUGGAGAUCAACAAGCUGGCACUCAGCAGAGAGGGUAAGUAACUUCCCUGUACAUGUAUAUUUUUCUCACCUGGCGUUAAAACCUAUUGCCAAUGUCUGUACACAAUACCAGUUUUUAAUUAAUGCAUGAUACUGUGACCAAGGAUAACUAAAGGCAAAAUAUGAGUUUAAACAAAUCCACGUUCAGAUCAUAGUUCCCUGGAGUUUGAGGAUGGAAGGGAUCCACUGAAGUAAUCUGACCACUGAGCAGCAAUAAUUCAUUCAGUUACUCUAAUAGCUUGCUGGGCUGAACCAGAAUGCCAGAAAAGUGAAUC